rnacentral:rRNA from 1 species
CUGCUCAAUGAAAAUUUUUAAAUAGCUGCAGUAUAAAUAACUGUACAAAGGUAGCAUAAUAAUUAGUUUUUUUAUUGAAAACUAGAAUGAAAGAUUUAAUGAAAUAUAAACUGUCUUAAAUAAACUAAUAAUUAAAAUUAUUUUUAAGUUAAAAAACUUAAAUAAUUUUAAAAGACGAGAAGACCCUUUAGAAUUUUAUAAAUAUAUUAAUUAAUAUAAAUUAUUAAUAUAAAUUUUAAUUAAAAUAUUUAUUUAAUUGGGGCAAUUUUAAAAUUUAAUAAAUUUUUAAAAUAAUUUUACAUAAAUUAAUGAAAUAAAUGAUCUUAAAAUUUAAAUUUUUUAAAAUAAAUUACCUAAGGGAUAACAGCAUAAUUUUAUUUUUAAGAUCAAAUUUAAAAUAAAAUUUAUGACCUCGAUGUUGAAUUAAGAUAAAAUUAAAAUGAAAAAAUUUUAUAUUUUAAGUCUGUUCGACU